AUUGAACGCUGGCGGCAGGCCUAACACAUGCAAGUCGAACGGUAACAGGAAGCAGCUUGCUGCUUUGCUGACGAGUGGCGGACGGGUGAGUAAUGUCUGGGAAACUGCCUGAUGGAGGGGGAUAACUACUGGAAACGGUAGCUAAUACCGCAUAACGUCGCAAGACCAAAGAGGGGGACCUUCGGGCCUCUUGCCAUCGGAUGUGCCCAGAUGGGAUUAGCUAGGAGGUGGGGUAACGGCUCACCUAGGCGACGAUCCCUAGCUGGUCUGAGAGGAUGACAAGCCACACUGGAGCGGAGACAGGGUCAAGACACCUACGGGAGGGAGCAGUGGGGAAUAUUGCACAAUGGGCGCAAGCCUGAUGCAGCCAUGCCGCGUGUAUGAAGAAGGCCUUCGGGUUGUAAAGUACUUUCAGCGGGGAGGAAGGGAGUAAAGUUAAUACCUUUGCUCAUUGACGUUACCCGCAGAAGAAGCACCGGCUAACUCCGUG
rnacentral:rRNA from 1 species